rnacentral:lncRNA from 1 species
GAUUGAGGGUGUUGGAGUAGAGGGCUCUUGUGGUGGAGUUCCACAAUUGCUACCAUCAGGUGGCGAUGGGGUUGGAUUGUAACUUCCACCACCCUCAGGUGGUGAUGGAGUUGGAUCAUAGCUUCCACCACCUGGGGGAGUUGAUGGGGUUGGAUUGUAACUUCCACCACCCUCAGGUGGUGAUGGAGUUGGAUCAUAGGUAGGUGGUGAUGGAGUUGGAUCAUAGCUUCCACCACCUGGGGGAGUUGAUGGGGUUGGGUCAUAGCUUCCACCACCAGGGGGAGUUGAUGGAGUUGGAUUGUAACUUCCACCACUAGGGGGAGUUGAUGGGGUUGGAUUGUAACUUCCACCACCAUCUGAGGGUGGUGAUGGAGUGGGGUCAUAGCUUCCACCACCACCUGGGGGAG